rnacentral:rRNA from 1 species
GAGUUUGAUCGUGGCUCAGAUUGAACGCUGGCGGCAUGCCUUACACAUGCAAGUCGAACGGCAGCAUGAUCUAGCUUGCUAGAUUGAUGGCGAGUGGCGAACGGGUGAGUAAUACAUCGGAACGUGCCCUGUAGUGGGGGAUAACUAGUCGAAAGAUUAGCUAAUACCGCAUACGACCUGAGGGUGAAAGUGGGGGACCGCAAGGCCUCAUGCUAUAGGAGCGGCCGAUGUCUGAUUAGCUAGUUGGUGGGGUAAAGGCCCACCAAGGCGACGAUCAGUAGCUGGUCUGAGAGGACGAUCAGCCACACUGGGACUGAGACACGGCCCAGACUCCUACGGGGGCAGCAGUGGGGAAUUUUGGACAAUGGGCGAAAGCCUGAUCCAGCAAUGCCGCGUGUGUGAAGAAGGCCUCGGUUGUAAG